rnacentral:rRNA from 1 species
UACGGGGGGGGCAAGCGUUGUUCGGAAUUACUGGGCGUAAAGGGCUUGUAGGUGGCCAACUAAGUCAGACGUGAAAUCCCUCGGCUUAACCGGGGAACUGCGUCUGAUACUGGAUGGCUUGAGUUUGGGAGAGGGAUGCGGAAUUCCAGGUGUAGCGGUGAAAUGCGUAGAUAUCAGGAGGAACACCAAUGGCGAAGGCAGCUCGCUGGAACGGAACUGACGCUGAGGCGCGAAAGCGUGGGGAGCGAACAGG